CAAAGGCUUGGUCCUGACCUUGCUAUCAGUUUUAGCCGAACUUACACAUGCAAGUAUCCGCACCCCCGUGAGAAUGCCCUUUAACCCCAACCAGGAGAUAAGGAGCAGGCAUCAGGCACACAACCCGUAGCCCAAGACGCCUUACUUAGUCACACCCCCAAGGGAACUCAGCAGUGAUAGACAUUAAGCAAUAAGCGAAAGCUUGACUUAGUUAAAGCUAAGAGAGUCGGUCAAACUCGUGCCAGCCACCGCGGUUAUACGAGAGACUCUAACUGACAGCCCACGGCGUAAAGCGUGAUUAUAGGAUGCUACCCUAACUAAAGUCAAAAUCUCCCUAAGCUGUCAUACGCACUUGGGAGCAUGAAGCCCCUCCACGAAGGUAACUUUAUAACCCACAGCCACCCUGAACUCACGAUAGCUAAGACACAAACUGGGAUUAGAUACCCCACUAUGCUUAAGCCCUAAACCUAAAUAAUAAGAUACCGAAUAUUAUCCGCCAGGGGACUACAAAGCGCUAGCUUUAAAACCCAAAGGACUUGGCGGUGUCCCAAACCCACCUAGAGGAGCCUGUUCUAGACCCGAUACUCCCCGGUUAAACCUCACCACUUCUUGUCAAUCCCGCCUAUAUACCGCCGUCGCCAGCUUACCCUGUGAAGGAAAAACAGUAAGCAAAGAGGGAACACCCCAAAACGUCAGGUCGAGGUGUAGCGUACGAAGUGGGAAGAAAUGGGCUACAUUUUCUAUAUCAGAACAUAACGAACAACACCAUGAAACUGGUAUUUUAAGGUGGAUUUAGCAGUAAAAAGAAAAUAGAGAGUUCUUUUGAAGUUGGCUCUGGGACGCGCACACACCGCCCGUCACUCUCCUCGAACAUAACCAUUUAACUUAAUAAGCAACAAACCAAAACAAGAGGAGGCAAGUCGNAACAUGGUAAGUGUACCGGAAGGUGCACUUGGAAUAAC
rnacentral:ncRNA from 1 species